rfam:Fistulina hepatica ATCC 64428 unplaced genomic scaffold FISHEscaffold_373, whole genome shotgun sequence.
GGACCAAUGGCCUAGUGGUUAUGGUGUCUGUCUUACACACAGAAGGUCCUGAGUUCAAUCCUCAGUUGGUCCA